UACGUAGGUGGCAAGCGUUGUCCGGAUUUAUUGGGUUUAAAGGGUGCGUAGGAGGGCAGGUAAGUCAGUGGUGAAAUCUCCAAGCUUAACUUGGAAACUGCCGUUGAUACUAUCUGUCUUGAAUAUUGUGGAGGUGAGCGGAAUAUGUCAUGUAGCGGUGAAAUGCUUAAAUAUGACAUAGAACACCAAUUGCGAAGGCAGCUCACUACACAAUCAUUGACUCUGAGGCACGAAAGCGUGGGGAUCAAACAGG
rnacentral:rRNA from 1 species